rnacentral:lncRNA from 1 species
UCCCAGAAGCCAGACUGAGAAAGAAAAGCAUAAAGGACACGCAACAGCAUGAUGCCUGAGAUUGAAUUCAUUUAUCAAAUUUAAGAGAUUUUUGCUAGAGUGUUUAGGGUUUUAUACAUACAAGAUCAUAUCAUCAGACAAUAGGAGUAGCUUGACUUUGUUCAAAUUUGAAUUCCUUUUAAUUCUUUCUCUUGCCUUAUUUUUUCUGUCUAGGACUUUCAAUACAGUGUUGAAAGUGGGCACCUGUGUCAUGUUCCAGCUCUUAGAAAAAAUGUUUUUAACUUUUGUACUUUCUGUGUGAUGUGGGCUGUUGCUUUCUCAUAUAUGGCCUUUACUGUUUUGAGGCAAGGAAUGUGGAUGGAGAAGGGAAUAUUGGACAAGGUCAGGACCGCCACUUCUAGAGAAAUGUGAUACCGGGACAAGAUAUGACUAAAAAUGUCUGCAGAGCAGCAGAGAGUGCCUACCUCAAGGCAAGAGGACAUUUCUGACAUAAUGUUUAUAUCUUCCAUUGCACUUAUUACAGUGCUAGCGAUAUAACACAUACCCAGCAGAAGGUUGAUAGCAUAUAAACAACUACAUUUUCAACUUGGCCUUUAUGAUGUCCCUGCUUCUGGAUUUUGUUUAGUUCUUCUGCUAUUUUCCAG